AUGUAUAUUGCUCUAUUAAUUGUUUAUUUAUUAAUUGAUNNNNNNNNNNNNNNNNNNNNCAAGAACGGACAACUUCUUACCAACCCAAACACACAAGAUAACUUCCUCUACCUAGACCAAAUCAGCAGUGAGGACGCAGGAAGCUACUCCUGUAGUGUUAAAGGCUACCGUUCUCCUGUUACGUUUGUUGGGGAACCAAAGUCUUUGAAGAAUGCAGUUGUAGGAAUCAUAGUGGUUAUUCUGAUUCUCAUACUCUGUCUGUUUGGGUUCAUGUGGUUCAGGAAGAAGACCUCCAAAUCCACCACUGACACAAGAGACAGAAGAGACACAGCAGAGAAUGGACAGGUGAGUAUUAUAGUCAGUUGACUGAGAACUGCAAUCAUCUGUGUAUAGAUGGACUCAAUGACUGUGGUAAUAUUUUUCACCCCUCAUGUUGUCUGUCCUCUCUCCCCAUCAGAGAGACUCUAAUCCAGUGUAUGACAACAUCUCAGGCAUGGCCAUGACCCCUACUGCAGCACAGAGAGCGAUCACAGACGAGCAGGAUGACGUUACCUACGCCAGCAUCCAACACAGAAACCAGGAAGUGCCUCCGGACUCCACCUUCCCACUAUCUCACCCCCAGAAACAGGACGAGGAUUUCCAGUACGCUACUGUGAAAUUCAACAGCCCCAGUGCUGCUCAAUAGACAUUGGAUUCAAUCCAAUCAUAGGUUAUAGGCAUUGUUGCUUUCAAUGUAGUUCUUCUUUUUUGAAAAAAUGCUUUUGGAAAAUGCUAUAUAAUUCCUCAAUUAGAAUGUCUUUAAUUUUGGCUUGAAUUAUCCCUUUAAAUUAAAGUAUAGGCCAAACUGUUCAGUACAUAUUCUACUGUUCUAUUAUGGUCAGAGGGGAUAAAAACGGUUCAUUUUUUACAGUAACUUCUUUGUUGUCAUAUCUCAAACGGACAGUUUCAGCAUUAAGGAUGCCAGCUUUAAAUAACACAAUAUAACCAACUUUAUUCAUGAGGUCUUAUAGUAAAUGUACUAUAAAUCACAGUAAUUUAAACAUCCCAUCCAUGCACCACACUAAACCUACACAUGUCUGUGUCUGAAAUGUCAUCCUAUUCACUACAUACUGCCAGGUCACAUUUCAGACACAGAUAUCCUCUUUAACUGUUAAGGGCCAAACAAAUGAUACCAGUGAAACAGGUUGAAGGUUGUAGCUGCUAUGACACCUUGUUUAAUGACGUGAGGUACUCAAUAAAUGACUAAAUACAACUAAACACAUGUUCUUUACAUCAGGGGUGGAGCAUGGAAAUGACAGAGACGCUGCAAUAAAAGCUUCUGUUUAUGUUUUGUAUCUUGGCAACAAUAUAUAGCAGCCAUAAAUCAUUAACCAAUGGAGCGCUCUACACAAACAAAACUAUCUUCAGCGCUGUCGCUCAUACAACAAGCUGUCCAAUGAUAAUAUUAAAUCUUUGUGUUCCAAUAAUUACAGAAGUGUAGGGAGUUUAUCCUAGCCACCGUGCUUCUACACCUGCAUUGCUUGCUGUUUGGGGUUUUAGGCUGGGUUUCUGUACAGCACUUUGAGAUAUCAGCUGAUGUAAGAAGGGCUAUAUAAAUACAUUUGAUUUGAUUUUAUUUGUAUAGCUGAGGAAGGUGUGCUCAGGAAGACAGAGAGGAUCUGGAGGGAGAUGGGAACACUUACAAAGUUCCACUGAAUUUAGGUAAGGCCACACUGUCCCCUCUCUCAUCCUUCUAGAGCACGCCAACCUGUACAUGGAUUAAAGGGAUCUCUGGACACAGGGAAACAACAGACAUUUAAACACAAAACCCCGCCCCACACACAGACAGCACCUGGAACUAAUCUAAAUUCAUUGAUGUCACACCAGGAACUC
rnacentral:lncRNA from 8 species